AGAGUCAAAAUCAGCAAGCAUCGAGCAUUUAGUUAAAAAAUGUGGAAAGUGGCAUAGAAACAGAUUUGGUUAAAACUCAUAUAUAAAUUUUCAGAACAAAGGGUAUGAUAGAAAAGAGCAAGCAAAAAAUAAUUUUUCGCAUUGUUGCUAUGGAAACCACGCGCCUUUUAGAUAGCGUGUUUAGUACUUUAUCAUGACACUUGAAUUUAUGGUUAAACAAAUACUUUUUUAUUACUAGUCAUUAAAAAAAGCUUUUUGAAUUAUUAUUUUAUUCAUAUAAAUAUACUCUAUUUUAGCAACUGUUGAUUUUUGAAAUUCUCUUCACCUUUUGAUAAAUAUAACUAUUUUUGAAGGUUUAUUUUGCUUUAAAAAACAGCAAAUUUGAAGUACUUUAUAAGAAAUCUACAACCACAUUAAAGCUUAUCAACAUAAAAUAUUUAUUAAACAGCAUUUGUUCUAGAAGAAUCAAGAAAAAAAUCUGCAGGCAACUAAAGCAUUUAUAUAUGACAACUGAUUUAAAUCCAUAAUUUUCUGUCAAUUUUGCUUCAAAUUACCUCCCUUUGGUAUAGCUCUCUAACAUAGGAGGAAUAAACGGUAGUUUGCUUACAUUGUUUUCAAUAACAAUGUACAGAAGACUAGCAGAAAAUUACAAACUUGGAGCAGUCUGAGCCUCAGUUUUGUCGUUUUCAUGAGUCUUAAUUACGAAUGAAAUUCGGCACUUUGAAGCCAAACUCGGAAAGAAGCAGAAACAGAAUUGGAUGAGCUGAUAUAAAAUUGGACAGGAAAAACAUAUUAUGAGAAUACAUUAUUACAGUACAGACCAUUGAUGCUGGAAGUGAGUGGAUAGUGUUAACGGAGACUCAGGGAUCAAGAAAAUAGAUCCAUAAAUUGUACAGUGUAUGUACGAAAGUGGAUCAAAUAAAAUGUUCAAUCUAAAAGUAACAUUGUUUGUUUGUCUGUUAGCAUUUUUUAUUGAUAUAAAUCUAAUAACUACGUAUCAAUUUUUAGCAUGCAGAUUCAUAAUUAUUAGAUAGUCGAAGAAUCUGAAACAUAUCUUUAUAUUCUGCAUUUUGAAGUAUCAUAAUUAAAACAAGGUCAAUAUUAAAUGAUCGAUCAAUAAAUGUUAAUUAAAACUGACAAAAUGUUUUUGUGAGAAAAAAGAAAGAGGGCUAAUUUAUAUAUUGUACCUCAUGUUGGACUGAUGUUGGUGUGAGUAAAAUAAAAAUGAUGAUGGACUAGUUUAA